GCUGCUGCCUGCUAAACUACUUAGCUGAUCGCGCGCACGUGCCUUCUUCACUCAAUCGUUCGUCGCUUCGUUUGGUUUUUUGACUUUAUCUUCGCUGUGGCCGCUGCUGCUGUCUUGCAUGCAGGUGCUGUUUUUUUUUGAGUUUUUUAUUGGAUUUUUAGGCAAUACGACAAAAAAAAAAAAACAAAUAGUAAACAAAAAAAUAGAAGCACAACAGUUACUGCAGCAAUAAGAAGCGCCGCAUAGUAAAGUGCAGGCAUUUCUCCGUCAACUGGCUAUACUGUGGCUUUGGCUGUGUAUAAUUCAACCUAACCGAGCAUCAUAAAAAACAACGGCAACUGAACUACAAAUACAGCAACUUUUAACAACGUCUUCGUCUUUAUUUUUUGAAAAAAAAAAA